CUGUGGUUCCGGAGACACGGGCCGCGACCUUCUCCAUCGCGCUCAGAAACAGUACAACGACACGCGGCUUACCGGCACCGAGUGUGUCCGUCGUUGUGCUGGAGGACGGAGGGCAGGGCCGGUGUGCUCAGCAGGAAGCGGCUUGCACGUUGCCAUGGUAACAGGGCCGGGCCCUUUGCAGCGCGCCACACCCACAGAGGAAGAAAGGUAAAGGUGUCAGCUCAUAAACUACCUGUGAUCAGGUGCGUCCGGCUGUCUGCUGAAGGACCGCCAUCGGAGCUGCUGAACAACAUGGAGUCCAGAGGAGAAGAAGCAGAGGAGAAGCCAGCGACGCUCCUCGCCCAGUCAACUCCUGAUACUACUACUAGUACUACUGUUAGUACUAUCACUGAUGCUGCCAGUACUGAUACCGAUACCACUACUACUGACGAGGAGGAAGCAGCAGAAGAAGAAGAAGAAGAAGCAGCUGGAAACAAGGAAGGUGAGGAAGACAAGGUCCAUUCUUCUUCACAUUUGUCACCCAGCAGAGAAGCCGACGAGUCCAUCAGAGUGUUACCAUGACAACACAAUGAUCAACAUUAGUGAAGUAAUACUAGUAUUUAUAGUUUUGAUUAGUUAAAGCUUUAAAUCGUUUUCUCCAGGGGGAUCCAUUAUUCUGCCGUCAUGGAGUUUGAAGCUCGUGUCAUAUUUAUUUAUUAGUUUAUUCUA
ensembl:lncRNA